AUUGAACGCUGGCGGCAGGCCUAACACAUGCAAGUCGAGCGGAUGAAGGGAGCUUGCUCCUGGCUUCAGCGGCGGACGGGUGAGUAAUGCCUAGGAAUCUGCCUGGUAGUGGGGGAUAACGUCCGGAAACGGGCGCUAAUACCGCAUACGUCCUGAGGGAGAACGUGGGGGAUCUUCGGACCUCACGCUAUCAGAUGAGCCUAGGUCGGAUUAGCUAGUUGGUGGGGUAAAGGCCUACCAAGGCGACGAUCCGUAACUGGUCUGAGAGGAUGAUCAGUCAAAACGGAAACGAGACAAGGUCCAGACUCCUACGGGAGGCAGGAGUGGGGAAUAUUGGACAAUGGGCGAAAGCCUGAUCCAGCCAUGCCGCGUGGGUGAAGAAGGUCUUCGGAUUGUAAAGCACUUUAAGUUGGGAGGAAGGGCAGUAAGUUAAUACCUUGCUGUUUUGACGUGACCAACAGAAUAAGCACCGGGUAACUUCGUG
rnacentral:rRNA from 1 species